GAUGAACGCUGGCGGCGUGCUUAACACAUGCAAGUCGAACGAAGCAUUUGCGACAGAUUUUUUCGGAAUGAAGUUGCUUAUGACUGAGUGGCGGACGGGUGAGUAACGCGUGGGUAACCUGCCUUGUACUGGGGGAUAGCAGCUGGAAACGGCUGUUAAUACCGCAUAAGCGCACAAUGUUGCAUGACAUGGUGUGAAAAACUCCGGUGGUAUAAGAUGGACCCGCGUCUGAUUAGCUAGUUGGUGAGAUAACAGCCCACCAAGGCGACGAUCAGUAGCCGAGCUGAGAGGGUGACCGGCCACAUUGGGACUGAGACACGGCCCAGACUCCUACGGGAGGCAGCAGUGGGGAAUAUUGCACAAUGGAGGAAACUCUGAUGCAGCGACGCCGCGUGAGUGAAGAAGUAAUUCGUUAUGUAAAGCUCUAUCAGCAGGGAAGAUAGUGACGGUACCGGACUAAGAAGCUCCGGCUAAAUACGUG
rnacentral:rRNA from 1 species